UGAACAAGCCAUGAGGAGCAAACCAGGAAACAGAGCUUCUUGGAGGUCUCUGCUUUGGCUCCUGCUGUGGCUUCCUUUAGUGACCGCGGUCCACGUGGAAGUCAAGGUCGGUGCCACCUCAGCAGGCUCCCGCUGAAAGAAUAUGAGAGACCCUCCUUCCUCUGCAGCACACCAAAAUCUUCGGAGCACUGGGAAGGUGUCCCUUGAAGUUCCCAGAGGAAUCAAGGGCAAUGCACUCUGGGCCAGCUGAGUAGCAAGGAGACACCCCCGACCCCUGCCUGCCAAAGUCUCAUUUCUGGGACAGCACCCUUCUGUGCCUAGGAAUCUCAAAGCAUGACAUGUGAAAGGGGUUUUUAUGCCGAGCACGUCAGCAGGCUGAGGAGCUAGUGUGCCUAAGACCUGGAAUUUCUUUCUGGCUCUCAGCAUGAGUCAUGAUUGUUUCCCUUGCGUCAUCCUCCGCAUGUGACUUUUCAUCUUACAUUCUGGCUUUGCUCCGGGAGACUGCACUGCCCAUGCCAGAGACCCGCUGAAAGGUCACCCCAGAAUGGCUCCGGUGGGAGGGGCUUACCUAGCAGUGUGGGUCCUGAACUGUGAUCUUUAACGCUCCUCUUUGGGAGAUGAAAGCAAGAAUAAAGGAUUCUAAAGGAGCCCCACCUUCAGAUUUUUGGAAUGAUAAUAUAACCAGAAGAUCCCCCCCCCCUCUGAAUUACUGUAACCAGCAAAGUAAGCCUCUGCCAUCCCUGCCUAAUCCAAAAUGGAAUUUACGAGGAGAGGUUCUUAAAUAGAGUGAUCUGGAUAUAUUCUUUCCUGCCUAGGGAGACCUAGCACCCAUAGAGUUCCUUUAAAUAAGCAGUGAGAAGCCCCUGUGUCUUCCUGGAGAUUUGCAAGCAGAUGUUGCUGAACCUGCAUCAGACUGGGUUUAUACUUGUCUUGAUAGAUCACUUCCAGACACUGCUUGAACCUGUGCAGAAUGAGUUGAGGAGUUUCUUCAUCUACAAAUCCAAGUCCUUGCAUGCCCCCUUUAUUGUCAACUUGACACAAGCAAGAGUCAUCAGGCAAGAGGAAAAGCUCAAAUAAGAAAAAUUCUUCCAUCAGCUCGGCCCGUAGGUGCCCGCUAACAUGGCUGAAGAGGGACAAGGCCUGGCUCUCUAUCCAAAUAGCAGAGGCCUCUGCAGCUACUGACCAGCCAAUCUGGGAAUCCUGAGCAAGCAACUCAAACAACUGCUCCCCGUGCCAAUCUGGGAAUCAAACAACUGCUCGCCGAACGGCGGUCCAGUGACAGAGCCAUCAACUGUUUGACAGCCGAAUGAGGAAGAGUAAGGACAACAGAAACUUUCCAUAAAGCUACGUUGACUGAAUUGAGAGAAUACGGCUUCUUUCUGAUUUUCAUUUUUCUUUCUGAUAUAGCCACUCUUAUGAAUGAUAAUAAAUGAUAUUCCCAGUGCUUCUAUUUGCCAAAACGAAUAGCAAGCAUUCCAGGGUGGCCUCUCCCCCUUGCAAUCUCCUGAAAUGUUCGUGAAACCUAAAAGUCUUGGUUGCACCCAUUACUCACACAAACCUGCUUUCUUGCCAACUGAGUGGCCAGCAACGAUUCUUCUAUUGUCAGAUUAGGACAAAGGUUAAGUAAGACCCCAAAGGGGAGGUGCCUGGAAGUGCCUUUGGUACUUUUCAGCUGUACCUGAAACCCUGGUACAGGCCUCAAGGCUGUGCAUGUGUGCUGUCAAGUACCAUGGCGCAUGGUCAGAAGCCAACUUUCCAACCGGUUCUUUCUUUUUACCUCGUGGGGCCAGGGAAUUGAACUCAGGCAUCCAGGCUUGGCAGCAAGCUCCUUUACCUGCUUAGCCAUCUCACCAUCCCCGUCCAUUGGAGAGAGAAGAUAGUAAGUGCAGACCCAGGAACUAUUUGGCACAUAGUAGGUGACAAAUAAAUGUCACUUUAGUCUAUGGGAUCCUAAAGUAGAAGAGUGUUAAAGGUGUGAGAGUUAGGAACAGAGAAUGAGUUCUAGAUAUUGGUGUGUUGAUGAUAACUGAAGUCAGGAAACCAAGAGGAAGAAGGCAGUGCUGACUCUAAAGUAGCCCAUGGAACCUGGUGGUCUCCCAGCAAGCAGACACAGGAAGACCCAGACUUCAUACAUCCCGCAGCUUCCUCCCAGCAGCUUACAUCACAUUCCCAUAAGUUUUGGACUCUCUAUCUUAGAAGAAAAUCCUUGUAUUCCCCUUCUUAAACUUGUAGUCCCCGAGACAGAAUCUCUUUUCAUGUGACCUCUCAUCCACUUUGGUUGCUGUUGGCGGUGGCGCAAUUUCCCAGGGUCACAAGUGUGCUGGAACUGAUGUUAAUCUAAGAGGUCCCUGAUUCUAUUGGGCUUAUCCCUCCCGCCCCGUAAGAAGAGCGCUCUUCAUCAGAGAACAGCUCAGCCAUCAGGGAAGGCUGCCUUCUCUGUCGGCAUACAGCAGAGGUACACGGGAAGUGACCGGAAGUGACCCUGGAAGAGCCUAGCCAGCCAGAACAGACAAAGCCAGCCUGGCAUUAAGGGGUGGUGGCUACUGCAGCCAGCACACCUUCACACUGAACAGGUUUCUCUUACCCCUGUGUGAAUGGGGGCAAAGACCUGUCCACAUCACAUUCUCAGGUGCCGGGUUCGGUCUGUUAGUCUGCAUUGUUUUAAAGGUUUCUUGGUUUAGUUUUAAUUUCUGGUCUAGUUCUCACUGGAAGGACUCUUGACUGAACUGUGAAGUUGUCACUGAAUGGCAGCCGCAUUGCUGGCUCCUUUGAGAGCUGUCUUGUAUGUAGCCCUCCUUCCCUAGCUUCCUUGAGAUGCUUACCGUAUUUAUGCAGUUCCCACAUCCAUGGAGGUCAUGGAGACAGUUUAAUGUAUCAACCAACCACGAUUUUGGUGGGAAAUGUAGCUGCUGUUUUAGACCUGUGCUACUUUGGAUUUGGUUGCUGUUGUCUAUGACCAAAAACAACUUGGAAAAGAGAGGGUAUAUUUCAUGUUAAAAGUUACAGGCCAUUGUGGAGGAAAGCCAGUGCAGGGACUCGAGGCAGGAGCUUGAAGCAAACCACGGAGGACUGCUGUUUCCUGCCUUGCUCCCAGGCUUUCGUUCAGCUGACUUAUACAGCCUAAUACAGGACCAGUAUCUUUCAUAGUGGGCUAGGCCCUUCCGCACCAGUUAGCAAUCAAGAAAACACCUCACAGACAUGCCCACAAGCCAGUCUGAUGGCAGCAGUUCCUCUCUUAAAGGGGCCCUCUUCCUAGGUGUAUCAAGUUGACAACCUCAGCCAUCACAAGUGAUAGUCAUUUUCAAGAGACUUUCUUGUGAUUUUGUCCUCUUCCUGUCUUAGGAUGUUUGAGUUUGGAGUGUCCACGUAGCUCAUUGAGAGAGAACUUGCCUAGCAUGCAUGGGGCCCUGGGUUUGAUCCCCAGCACU